rnacentral:piRNA from 1 species
UGAUAACCAAGGUGGCUACUAAGUGA